rnacentral:rRNA from 1 species
AUUGAACGCUGGCGGCAGGCCUAACACAUGCAAGUCGAACGAGUGGCGGACGGGUGAGUAAUGUCUGGGAAACUGCCUGAUGGAGGGGGAUAACUACUGGAAACUGUAGCUAAUACCGCAUACUACCGUAUCGGCCCAGAUGGGUUUAGCUAGUAGGUGGGGUAACGGCUCACCUGGGCGACGAUCCCUAGCCGGUCUGAGAGGAUGACCAGCCACACUGGACCUGGGACACGGUCCAGACUCCUACGGGAGGCAGCAGUGGGGAAUAUUGCACAAUGGGCGCAAGCCUGAUGCAGCCAUGCCGCGUGUAUGAAGAAGGCCUUCGGGUUGUAAAGUACUUUCGGCGGGGAGGCGUUACCCGCAGAAGAAGCACCGGCUAACUCCGUGCCAGCAGCCGCGGUAAUUC